rnacentral:lncRNA from 1 species
AAUUCUAAGCGCCUUUCUUUCAGAAGUUCCACAGCUGCUUCAUAUGCAGCCGAAUUUUGAACAGACUGCCUAAUGAUGCUGACAACAGCACCAAGGUUACGUUCAACAUAUGGGUGCUUUGAUUUCAUCGAUCGCUUUAAUUUGCUUGUGGUAAGAGGCAUCUGCUUAGCUUUUGCAACAAAGUACUAUGUUUAGAACAUCUGCAGCCUAUUACGCUCAACAUAUGGGUGCUUUGCUUUCAUCGAUCGCUUUAAUUUGUUUGUGGUAAGAGGCAUCUGCUUAGCUUUUGCAACAAAGUACUAUGUUUAGAAAAUCUGCAGCCUAUAAGCACCAGUACAUAGGAAGAGAACUUU